rnacentral:lncRNA from 1 species
AGAUUGCCUUUGCGGCUUAAUUUCCCAGAGAAGUUGAGGAGGUAAUUUUGACACGGCUUCCUUACUAUCGAUAUAUUUUUUUAAUUACUUACUAACUUUUGAGAUGAACUUUGUGCAUAGUUUCUGGGUUUAAACCACUUUUGUUAGCUUGGCUUGUGUCUUGUUUGCGUCGAAUGUAAUCAUGACUCGAGAGAAAAUAGCAUUCAUCUAUUGUUAAUGAUGCGUUGAUUCUUGCAUAACUCUUUGAGUAUCUCUUUCUUGAUGUUGAGAAUAGUAACAUUUUAUCUGCGUUUGAUUUAGUAUAUUUCUACAGCAUUCAAUUUACACAUUAGUGGUCUCGGCAAAUCAUUAUUUUCCCUCUAACUUUCCGAAGCAAGGGCUGUGACUCGAAACCAAGACGAAAUUUCACCUAGUGGUCUCGGCACGUGAUUUGGUUCAUACAUAAACAAAUAUGAUGCAUAAAACUGAGAGAAAGGCAUGAUGCAGUGAUAAGAAAGAGUCAUGAGGUUUUUCCUAUGAUUCAUGGUUGUGUUGAAAUAUGAAAGAUAUAUACUAUGGGGUUUUGCAUGUAUAUAUAUAUAUAGUAAUGACAUUCCUUUUACGUGUUUACUUUGAUUUACUUGUGUGAUGAUAUAUAUCAGAGCUGCAGAGUAAAAUAGUAGCUUUUCAAAAAUAAGAAAUAUGUA